AGUGCACCUCAGCCUUUUUUGGCUAAGAUCAAGUGUAGUAUCUGUUCUUAUCAGUGGUAAGUUCAGUUAUACUGGAUUUGAUAUACAAAGUGCUUAGCAAAUAACCCACAUUAGCCUGCUUUUCUCCAGACUAAUGCUUUCCAAAUAUGUUGGAUUUCCAAUCAUAUCAACUGCAUCUAAUGCCAU